UGGGGAAUAUUGCACAAUGGGCGAAAGCCUGAUGCAGCGACGCCGCGUGAGGGAUGACGGCCUUCGGGUUGUAAACCUCUUUCAGUAGGGACGAAGCGCAAGUGACGGUACCUGCAGAAGAAGCACCGGCUAACUACGUGCCAGCAGCCGCGGUAAUACGUAGGGUGCGAGCGUUGUCCGGAAUUACUGGGCGUAAAGAGCUCGUAGGCGGUUUGUCACGUCGUCUGUGAAAUCCUAGGGCUUAACCCCGGACGUGCAGGCGAUACGGGCUGACUUGAGUACUACAGGGGAGACUGGAAUUGCUGGUGUAGCGGUGGAAUGAACAGAUAUCAGGAAGAACACCGAUGGCGAAGGCAGGUCUCUGGGUAGUAACUGACGCUGAGGAGCGAAAGCAUGGGUAGCGAACAGG
rnacentral:rRNA from 1 species